GGGAUCGAUGUGCCUGGUUCCCUGUAUGCCACCCAGGUACCCCCAAUCUCAUGCUGCCUAGGUUGGGUAUUUUGGGUGGCGUGCAUGGAAUCAAGCAUGUCUUAAUUAAUUUGCCUUUGAUCUCC
rnacentral:pre_miRNA from 1 species